rnacentral:rRNA from 1 species
CAGCAGCCGCGGUAAUACGUAGGGCGCAAGCGUUGUCCGGAAUUAUUGGGCGUAAAGAGCUCGUAGGCGGCUUGUCACGUCGGUUGUGAAAGCCCGGGGCUUAACCCCGGGUCUGCAGUCGAUACGGGCAGGCUAGAGUUCGGUAGGGGAGAUCGGAAUUCCUGGUGUAGCGGUGAAAUGCGCAGAUAUCAGGAGGAACACCGGUGGCGAAGGCGGAUCUCUGGGCCGAUACUGACGCUGAGGAGCGAAAGCGUGGGGAGCGAACAGGAUUAGAUACCCUGGUAGUCCACGCCGUAAACGGUGGGCACUAGGUGUGGGCAACAUUCCACGUUGUCCGUGCCGCAGCUAACGCAUUAAGUGCCCCGCCUGGGGAGUACGGCCGCAAGGCUAAAACUCAAAGGAAUUGACGGGGGCCCGCACAAGCGGCGGAGCAUGUGGCUUAAUUCGACGCAACGCGAAGAACCUUACCAAGGCUUGACAUACACCGGAAAGCAUUAGAGAUAGUGCC